GAGUGGAACAAUGGAUUCAGUGAAUGAAAAGAGAAUGAGAUUUUUUAUUUUGGAGGCUUUGUUUAAUUGGUUUGGUGUUAAUUUUCAGUAUUUGAUAUAUUUAAAACGUAAAUCAACAUGUACUUGGGUUCUUGUAUUCUGAUUUUUUAUUUUUUUAUUUUUAUUUAUUCAUAAUCUAUGUUUGUGACGGAAAGCAUGGUGAUGAUGCUUUACUUAUUUUGAUUUUCCUUGCUGACGCCUCUAAUCAAAUUUACUUUUAGUUUCGACAUUAUGCGGAAUCAGUUUGUCCUAUAGGAGAGCUACAAAAGAAUUUAGACUAUCUUGAACUCAUUGUUUAUUGGGUGGCUGAAAAAUUUGAGAAAAGGGGUCAAGAAUUAUAUGCAUGUCAUUCGAGAUUUUCAAAAGUCAAGUUUAAUCAGCCCUAUAUGGUUGUGUUAGGCUGAGUUCACUGGAACACCAUACUUCUUUUUCAUGUAAAAUGCUGAAAAUUCUUAACUUUACAUCCUAAUUCAAAUGGAUUUUCAAGAAAUAUGAACAAAUAGAAAGUAAAAUGCUUGAGAAUGUCAAAAAUCGAGCCUAACUUUAUACUUUUCUCAGAAGCCAAAAGGCUCUAUUGGGUGUUCAACGAAGGCUUUUAAUAAAAUGCAUAGUUAAUAUGCUGAGAAUUAAAUGGAAGGAUUGGCACUUUGGUUGAUUUUGCAUGUGAUAUUUUAGGCAUUUGUUUGCAUUUCUCAAUAUGAUGAUGAAUGUCUCUGUGAUGUUUAUUAGAAAUAAGCAUUUUUUUUCAGUGCCUGGAUGAAAAUGUUUGGGUACUAUACGAUUGAAUUGGGGCCCGACUUAUGUGGUGUUUAGACGCAAUGUUUCUAGGUUUGUUUUUGUAGACCUUGUUUUUGCAGAAUCUAUGCAUGUUUGUAAUGCUUAUGUAUUUUUUGCAUAAUGGUAUUGGAGAUGAACUGAGAUUCUAGUAUUGUCUUGGUUGGUGUUUUUAAUUAGAUUGUACAUAUGAAUAGAUUAUGUCUGCAUUAUCAAAUAGCAAAGGUUACAUUUGUGUGGGCAUUGAUCUUUAAUUGUUUGAUGUGUAUGAUCAGGAAGCAUCAUUCAAGAACUUGGUUGUUUUAGUUUAAAUUUUCCAUUUUUUCUAGUGGGUAUGGUUUAUUUUCGUGGGUUCUGACCCAAUUUCAUGUGAUUCUUGAUCUGGGUUUUGAGAAUUAUUGCUUGAUCCGGAUGUUUAGGUGGUAAAUGCUUCCAGUUUUGGUGAAACGGGACGGGUGGAAAUUUCCUACAAUCAGAAUAUUUGCUUUUCCAGAGGGAUGUUGAAGUUUGCAUUUGGAAUUUAUUGAAUGGAACUAGUAUUAGUGUUUGAAAUUUCCGGGUGGAAAUUUCCUACAAUCGAAAUAUUUGCUUUUCCAGAGGGAUGUUGAAGUUUGCAUUUGGAAUUUAUUGAAUGGAACUAGUAUUAGUGUCUGAAAUUUCCGGGUGGAAAUUUCACUUGAGAUUUUUUUGUUGUUGAUGUUUGUCAUUGGUGUUUUUGUUUUUGUAUUCCAUAUGUUUGAUGAAAUUUCCAUGAGAUUUUGUUGUUGUUGAUGUUUGUGUUAUUGCUGCUACACGCACAAUCUUUGGGUUUAAUUAUGCUUAUUUAAAGGGUUACUGCAAGAUUUGGCUCAAUAAUUAAACAUGAUCCUGGCAUAGUUGGCAGGCAAAGUUUCAAGAAGAAAGGACAUGAGGGAGCACAUUAAUUCAUUUAACUUACAUGUAAAACGUUACAUAACUUGUGUGUCUGAUCUUUCCUUUGAUGACUUUAGCCCAUUUCUUUUUUGAACUAUAUAAAGAACCUUUAUGUUAGUAUCUCUUUAGAUCAGAAUUAUAAUUUUUGCACAGGGCCUCAUCAUGGUUGUAACUGCUUCAGUGUUGGUAUUUAGUAAGGCCAACAAGGAUUGAGUUACCUUUGUAAGUUGGGCUUGUCUAUGGUUUUGGCAUGCAAACUUUAUGUAUCAUUUUUUUGCGAGGUCAUACUUUGCAUUUAGUUUUUUUUGGCGUAUAAUAUUUGAUACCUUAUUAGAAUGUCACCAAAGAAUCAUACAUAGUUGGAAUUUCCAGCAUUUCUCGUAAAAAGCAUAUAGAUUUUAAGGGAAUUAGUAAAAUUUCCACACAUUAUGUAUGAUCCUAACCCAUUUCCAGUGCAUAAUAGUUGAAAUUUCCCACACCACAUAAUUUCUUGAACAAACUAUGGUCAUAGUAAUAUAUUUAGUGUUACCAUUUAGAUUCUGUGUUGUAAUCGCCGCUAGUACUAUGCCCUAUUUUCAACUUACAAUUGAGAUUCAUGAGUGCCUAUGUACUCUUUCUCAUGCUUUGCAUUUUUCAUUAGUGCCUUUGUAUUUUUGAUUAAGUAAAAGUGGGAAAAGAUCUCAACUAAACAUUUCAAUUUUGAGGAGGAUUUAGCAGCUGAGGAAUCAGCAAGAGAAGGAGCUUGAUGAGUGAGAGCGUAUGCCAGUCAUUUCUUUAUUUCCUCAGUUUGGUUUCAACUGCUAGUUUCUUGUUAUUAUUUAUUUGUGCGUUAGAUAUGUGCUCACUGUUUACUUGUCUCUCAUGAAAUGAUAGUUGCUCAAAAUGCAAUGAGUUUAAAGUUGGUGUAAGAGACAUCAUCCAAGCAGGACAUGGAGAGCGCUAUCAGGCAUUGCCUCUUCCCUGAUGAUGUUAAAAGAUCAUGUUCUACAAUAUGGCUGAGAAAAGACAGCAAUUAUUUCCUUCAUGUGACUAAACAUAAGAUUCUUUUGUUCUUCUGUUUUUAUCCCUCCUGAUUCACUGUGUAUUUGGUAGGUUGUAGGUACCUAGUGAUUUGUACAUAAAAUUGAUUAUUGGAAUGCCCCCAACUCUUGGCCUUAUGCAAAAUUAAUUAUUCUUUGU